rnacentral:rRNA from 1 species
GAUGAACGCUGGCGGCGUGCCUAAUACAUGCAAGUCGAGCGAACAGAUAAGGAGCUUGCUCCUUUGACGUUAGCGGCGGACGGGUGAGUAACACGUGGGUAACCUACCUAUAAGACUGGAAUAACUCCGGGAAACCGGGGCUAAUGCCGGAUAACAUUUAGAACCGCAUGGUUCUAAAGUGAAAGAUGGUUUUGCUAUCACUUAUAGAUGGACCCGCGCCGUAUUAGCUAGUUGGUAAGGUAACGGCUUACCAAGGCAACGAUACGUAGCCGACCUGAGAGGGUGAUCGGUCACACUGGAACUGAGACACGGUCCAGACUCCUACGGGAGGCAGCAGUAGGGAAUCUUCCGCAAUGGGCGAAAGCCUGACGGAGCAACGCCGCGUGAGUGAUGAAGGUCUUCGGAUCGUAAAACUCUGUUAUUAGGGAAGAACAAAUGUGUAAGUAACUGUGCACGUCUUGACGGUACCUAAUCAGAAAGCCACGGCUAACUACGUG